GAAUGAAUGAAUGAAUGAAUGAAUGAAUGUGAAGUAUUAGUAUGAAGUAUGAACUAAUAAUAAGUCUGUUUGUUUAGGAUGAGUAUUUAAUGGUCCCACUACCACUACCCUCCAACCUACACUUAUUUGCUACCAUCACUUUCAUCUCUUAUUUAUUUCACCAUUUUUUUCCCCUCACAAAUCAUAAUUCUCUUUCAGAGUUCUCCAACAUUUUCUUUUCUGGUUAACUUGUUUUUUUCUUUCUUCUUCCAGAAAUUAAGAGAGAGUAAUUAAAUGGGUGAAUAAAAUCCCCAUUAAUAAUUUGAAAGAAAUGGUUGCUUUGUGGGUGUUUCUCUGUCUAGAAAGUAGAAAAGAUAAGAUGAAUGAAGUAGUUGAGAAGAAAGGUGGUGUUAGAUUUGGUGAGAUUUUAAGGUCGCUUUCUGUCUCUGAUUCUCACGAAGAUAACGACCCUUCGUUCAAUCCCCAGCUUCUUCUUCUUCUUCUUCUUCUUGUCAUCUUAUUUUUACUAAGAGUAUUCAUUAAACACUGCUUAUUCUCCAAUUAUUCUGUAUUAGUUUCUCACCUUUAAUUUCUUCUUUCUUUACUCUCUCCUUUUCAUCUUUUUUCUUUAGUCUAAACGAUGAUUCUCAAAAUAUCCCUCUUUUUCUACUUUAUUUUUUAUAGCCCCAACUGAAUUAAUUAAUUAAAUGUGUGCAAUUUUUAAAUAAUAUUACUCUUUUCCAUAAUUUGGGUUCAUAAGUGAAUCCCAUCUUUUCCCUUCUUUCUUCAUAUAUUAUUCUUCUACAGGGUUUAAUUUUUUUAAUAUUAACUUUAAAAUUUUAUCUUGUUUGCUGGAACUUUUUUUUUUUCUUUUGCUGGUUUUUAUUUUUUUAAAUGUUUAAAAUAGUUUUGCCCAUUAAAGUUUUAUCCUUUAAGAAUAAGAAUUCUUCAAGAAUUGUGCUAAAAAUAAUAUAAUUUCAAAGUAAAUUAUCUAAAUAUACUUCAUUAUUUAUCCAUUAUUUAUUCCAAUUCUAUUAUUUUCUACCAUUUAAUACUUAAUACCAUAAUUAAUUAAUCUUGUAUAAUUUUAAUGACUUUGUUAUUAAAGGGAAAAAUAAUUAAAACUGUGCAUUUGUUGUAUAGGUUUAAAAAACCCUUCCUUAAUUUAAUGGGUUUUUUCUGCAGUUUAGCUAUCUUUCUCUUUUUAUAUUCCUAUAUUUUGGAAAAUUUUGGUGUAUAAAAUAUUGAAUAAAUAGAUUUAGUGGAGGAUUCUGUAGGCUCUUCAAUGCCUAGAGUUUGUGAUUUAUUAUAAAAAAGUAAUAUUAAUAAUUUAAUCUUUUUAUCUAAUUACUGUAAAUAAUUUUAUCUUUAGAUUAAUUUUUAAUAAUUUAAUUUUUUUUAGUUUGCUAUUAGUAUAUUUUUUUAUUUAAUAAUAAUUUAACAUUUAUCUUUAAUUUGUUGUCAUCAUAUUUUAUUAGUAUGCUGAUAGUAAAUUAAAAAUGAAGGUUAAAUUAUUAAAAAAUAAUUUAAAAUUGAUAUUAUUUACAAAGGAUAAUUGAAAAGUUAAAUUAUCAAUUCAAAUUUUUUUUUUAAGAAGCAAAUUAUUUUUUUUUUUUUGAGUUUAGUGGUGAUGAAAAAAAUAAUUAAAAUAUGUAGAGUGUACUUCCAUAGUCAGGGUAAGAUCAUAUCAGUGUUCAGUAAGUCUGCUAAAAAUAGUUUUAUAUGAUUCCUUUAUUUUGAUUCUUUUUAUCAAUCAAAAUACUCAACUUGUAGGCUCGUAGGAGUAAGUAAUGUUUUAAAUUUUCCUACUCUCAUCUUCUCUUCUUUCUCUCUUUCUUUUUGAGUUUGUUUGAGGGUGAAAUGAAAUGACAAGUGGGGUUUGCUUAUGUCUCCUCAAUACUCUUUUCUUUUCAUUACCUUCUCUCUAUCACCUUCUUAUGUCUUAUCAUUUACAACCUCUAAAUGCAUGGCUCCAAAUUUAUUUCUUUUUGACUUUUCUUUUCCAUUUUCAUUUUGUGAUUUAACUUCAUCUGUGUUCCCCAUCAUACUUUUUUUUUUCUUGCAUAAUUUUUUCUAAUUAAGCACAAUUCUAAACUUAUUAUACUAAAGCUUAAUACUAGGGUUAGGGUUUGUUGGUAUGCUAAUGAAUUUGUUUUGUACGAGUAGUUAUCUAGGGUUGUCUUGUUAGUUAAAUCUUCCUGGUUUUGCCCCCCCUUUUUUUUUUUUUUUUUUAAAUAAUGAUCAAUUAAUUUGAUGGUGUUUCUAAAUCUUCUUAUUCUUGUAACUAGUUCUUGUUUUUUAUAUUGUAGUUGAUAUCUUUUCUAGCACUAAUUAGUAAUUACAUGUGUUUAUCAUAGCUUCUGGUAAUCACAUAUGAUUACAAGAAUUAUUUUGAAAUUUCUAAGCUAUUUUUGUAUAUCAUUUUAUAUGAUACUACAUAGGAAAGCUAUAUGUAUCUAUCCGAUUGACCCCUCUGUGAAAACAUAUAAUUGAUAUUUUCUGCGUAUCUAAUGUUGAUUGAAUGAACACUUGUAUACUAUCCUUUUAAUUUAGGGUUUGUUUGGAUAUACGUAGAGGGAAUGAAAGGGGAGAAAUUUGAAGUUAUGAGAUGAAUAAUUUUAGUUAACGUCUCGAUCUAAAUUUGUUGAGAAAACUUUCAUUUCCUUUUCCCUUUCCUUUUCGUCCUUUCUUUUCUCUCUAAAAUUAUAUUCAUUAUCUGAAUAUAGAGUCUUACAGCUGACCUUUCCCAAACUACUUUGAUUUAUUCUUGAAUGUGUGGAAGAUUAUGUUAGUAUAUUUCUAUCCUAUCUAAGUGUAGUAAUUAAGCCAUAGAUAUAUGAAGAAAUCAGUUCAACCACAAAAUUAAUUGAUGGAUGAAAGGAAACUAGCUAAAUCAUGAUAACCUCAUGAAAAAUUACUUUUGCUUGUCAAAUGUUCAUGUUAUUGCAUGUACAAGCUUAAUUUCUUUAAUUAUCUUGUUAAUUACCUUAUUCUGAGAUGUGAUUAAUUAUUUUGAGUGAAAAUGUAUUGUAAGAGAGCUUCCUUCAGCCCACUCAUGGAUGGGGAAAAGGGGGUUUGAAUCAUCUGCCGACUCAUUCAUUCAAACACUCAGUAGAUCGAAUGUAUGUCACGGUAUGCUACUGUGAUUGCGUGAAUGAUGCGGGAGAUAAUUUCAUCCCUCUCUCUCUAUGCUUGGACUGAAGGGAGCUCCCUCUCUCUAUUCCAUUCAUUCAUCUUUUUUCUCUUUUAGAUGUUAACUUUACAGCUUAUUGUUUAGGAUGGUUUAUCUCACAUCGAUAAAUUAAAGAUUCGAUGCAUAAGUCAUUCGAGCCCUUCCUCAAUUUUUAAAUUCUAUCUCCUUGGCUUAUGAAAUUCCCCUCGUGUUUUCACGAUAAUGUACUAGCAAUCACAAUAAGUGUCUAGCCUAAUUUAAUACUAAUUACAUCUAUUUGUGAAUUGUGGUUUCAUACUCACAAUUCUAUGUUAUUUAUGGUUUUUUGUCGUUCUAUUUGAUUCUUAACAAUUCCUUAUUUUGCCGAACUUUAGCUUGCAAUAGAUAACAAAUUCUACAUUGCUAUCUUUGAGAAAUUGUCAGUGUGUGAGAUCUGCCAUUACUGUGCAAAUUGUGGAUGAAUUGGUGGUACUCCUUGAUUAUGGAAUUAAUAUACAAGUAUGCUUUGUUGUUUAGACUGAGAUUUCUUGCGAUUUGCCAACUGAAUCUUGAAUAAAUAGAAUUCAGUGUUCACAUUUGGUAUGAUAGCUGCUGGUUGGCUAACAAAUGCCUCAAAGAGUAUUUCAGUCAUCCCUCAACAAAAUGCAGGUAACACAAGUCUGUUACUAAUGGCCUCAUUUAAUUUUCAUGGAGUAUUUUGGAAAAGUUAUUUAUAAAGUUAAGUAAGCAAAUAAGCAUGAUACAGGCUGCUACUAUCUGAAAAAUAAGGACAGCAUUAAAUUAAUAAACUAAGUAUUAUUAUUAUUAUUUUUAAAACAUAAAUGUUGUUUGUUUAAUAAGGUUGUUGGCAAGCUCAGAUUCUCGUGGAUACUUACUUUUAAGCAUCAAAUGCUUACUUCAUUGUGAUUUCCAAGGAUGGAAGUACAACCCUAACUCCAUUUUCUUUCCCUUUGAAAUCGUGCUUGUGUCCUUGUGUUUUGCUUUACUAUUAUCCUUUUUCUAUGUUCAAAUUAUGCGGCUUUUUUUUACUAAGCUUAUUAUUUAUUGGAGUUCAUUUUCGUAAUUAGAGCAAGGUUGUUAGAAUUGGAAUCCUAUAUAGGAUCAGUAAAAGGAUAGAAUCAAAAAUUUUGGAAUUGAAUUGUAGUAUUUUAAGAUCAUAUAAAUAUGUUUUGAUAUGCUAUUGGAUAAUUGUUUAUAAUUAUAAUUGUUGGAAAAAUUACCGUAAAUAAUACAACUUUUUGUUUAUUUUCCUACAAUAAUACCAACUUUUAAUUAAUCAUAAAUAGCAGUAACUUUGGGGUUGUUUUCCUAUAAUAUGCUUAACAUGUUAAAAAUCAAACAAUAUAAGAUUAUGCGACAAAAAGA